GAGGAGCCAGGCGCACAGCACCGGGCGCGCUGAGCCCGAGCCCGGAGCCCGCGCCCUGCGGCCGGCGGCCGGAGGCGAUGAAGAUCUGGAGCUCGGAGCACGUGUUCGGCCACCCAUGGGACACCGUCAUCAAAGCUGCCAUGAGGAAGUACCCAAAUCCAAUGAACCCCUGUGUCGUGGGAGUCGACGUGCUGGAGCGCAGUGUGGACAGCCGCGGCCGGCUUCACAGCCACCGCCUCCUCAGCACCGAGUGGGGCCUGCCCGGCUUCGUGAAAGCGAUUUUGGGGACCAGUAGGACUUUGACAUACAUCAAAGAACAUUCUGUUGUGGAUCCAGUAGAAAAGAAAAUGGAACUUUGUUCCACCAAUAUCACACUCACCAACCUGGUGUCGGUGAACGAGAGGCUGGUGUACACACCGCACCCGGAGGACCCUGAACUGACUGUGCUCACGCAGGAAGCCAUCAUCACGGUGAAGGGGAUCAGCCUCGGCAGCUAUCUGGAGAGUCUGAUGGCCAACACGAUAUCAUCCAAUGCCAGGAAGGGGUGGGCUGCUAUUGAGUGGAUAAUUGAGAAUUCCGAGCGCGCUGUGAGCUAACGGGGUCUGCGCCUGCACCUUGUGACGAACAGUGAGAUUUCCUGGACUUCAUCUUCCAACGACGUCACUCAUUUUUAUUUGGGCAAAUUGUAGUUUCGGUUUCUCAAUCUGUCCUGCUCCUGAUGGCGUCCUGCUCUUGCUUCACAGAGGGUCGCGAGGCCUUGGAGUGGGUGAUCGGCCGACUUAACACGGAGCUGGAGGGCCUGGCAGCCCCCGCCUGCGCCCGAGCGUGAACCCCGGUGGCGCCCAGGACCAGGAGACGCAGGUCCGGCAGCAGGUGGCCGGUGGUCAGCCCCGCCCCCAGCCCCGCCCCCCGCAGGGGACUGCGCAGCCGCUCCACACCUGGUCUGUCGGAGGGAGCGUUCCUGAUGAGUGCAUGCCUAGAGACGUUUAGGAAAGGGACCCUAGGAAAGGAAGUGAGUUUGCCACAUCUUGGCCGAUAGCUUACCUUCACCUUUAUCUUUACUUUUUUUUUUUAAAUAGAAAGUUUAGUUUAAUAAACAAGAAGCUAAAUCUCUAAUAUCCCUUCCCCAGAAGCCAAAAUACCAGAGUGGAAAAGGGAAUGGCUUUCUCCCAGCGUUCACAUAGAAGUUUUUCGUGGGUUGUGAUCCUGAGUUUGCAAGGAUCACAGACGCAGGAGAGUCCGGCUCUGGGGUGAGAGCUCUGGACCCUGGAGCCGCACCCCUCCAACGAGGGCUGACGGGGGUCUCUGCACUGUGCUCUGCCCUGACCCGCCCCUGCUGAAGUUUGGGGACAUUCCACAAAUGGUACAGCUGUGCUGCAUGGACACUUAAUUUACUGACCAGAUUUUAGCUUCCACUAACCACAGAACUUGGAUUUAAUUUGGGAUAUGGGUUUUUAAUUAUAUGCAUCCGGCAAAUAACAUAAAGCAUCCCUAUUUCAUUUUAGUUUCUGAACAUGGAAUAAGAUACUUUUCCCCUUAUUUAUGUUUUAACUAAGCCAACCAGUUUAGUUUUUAGAAGAGAAAGGACUACGGGAGAAACUAGUUAUUUCGACGUUAUUUUACUUGCUUUAUUUUAUUGCCCAAAGCAUAGAAAUAAAUCCAGAAUCCUGCUGCCUUUCCUUCGUUUCCCGUGUUACAUCCCUGUUAUUGUGGUCCUUGAGUUUAGUAGGAAUAAAAGUUGAAUACACUAGUUACUGUCUCCACUCUUCAGCUAAACCAGAAGUUACUGGGGUGCUCUUUCCUCUUGGAAGUUGGGCUUUCUAGAGUGGUGUGAGCACACAGGCCAUCCUAUGGUCUUUGCAUUGGUACCUGCCUUUCUGAUUAAGAAGCUGCUUCCAGAACGUUCCUCUAGAGGCAGAGCCAGGUGCUCUCUGGAAACAAGGUUUCCCUUGGUUGUACUACAUACUCUUUGAAGAUUGUUCCACCCAUUUGGUGUUAGAACCAACUAUUAAAACUGUAUCUGAUUUGAGCCGGUGGUUUUUUGGCUUCUGAAGAGUAGCUGACUGCCUCCAGCGUGUCUGUCCUCACAUUAAGGAAGGGUUAGGCAUGCUUUGAUAUAAGAGUUAAUUGCUGGGUGUCUCUGUUCCUCCCCAAACAGCCCUCCCUAGCAGACCUCUCCUUAUGGCUGAGCUUUAGUGGAUGCCCAGUAUAUUCAGAACAGGUAUUCAUAGGUUCUGUUACACUUCAGGAUCCAAAGAAGAAGCAGGCUUAUUUAUUUGGGUGACUUGGGCGGCUGAGGAGGGUCCCUUUGUGCACCAGCUGCUGGAUUAUAGCUAUGCAUGGGGCACAUCUGGGCGGUGUUGACGACCGAGCUCCAGAUUCCUCAACAUAAAAUGCAGACACUGAUACCCACCUCAAAGGACGGAACCAGGAGGCGGAUGGGAAAUGCCGCAGUGUAGCCUGGUGGCAGCUGGCCCACGGCGCUGUUAACGGCUGGCACUGGCCCACCGUUGGGCUGCAGAGUUCCGUGGGAGGCACCACUGCGCGGGGCUGGAAUUGGGAACGCUGGGCUUCAUUGAUGGAACAUGUGUUUUUUGGUCGUGCGUAUAUUUCAACUUUUAUAAUCACUGGUAAGAGUUAACUGUCAAUGGUAAAAGAGGCCAAGUGGGAAGACAUUCGGGAGUCCUAACCCGGGACUGAUUUGGAUUUCUGGCCUUGACUGCUCAUCACGCCCUAUGCUUGUCUUCCGCUGUUACAGGACAGUUUGCGUAGGCCAGGGGUUGGCAGACUACAGCCUAGGAGCUAAGGAUGGUGCUGGCAUCUUUAAAGGGUUGUAAGUAACCCCCCCCCCCCACAGACGAGGAUGCGGCAGAGACCCUAUGAGGUGACCAAGCCUAUUAUUUACUCUCUGGCCUUUAAGGGCCGACCCCUUUCUUGGGGAUUCCACUGCAUCUCUCCGUCAACAUGAAUGACACUAGAUUUGUUUCCCUUUCACCGAACUGCUUUCUGUUCCCCCAUUUCUAAGUAGUGCUUCUUCCAUUUUCCAAAUACAAAACCUGAGUUAUUUAUGACUUCUUCCUCCUUCUCUUUCUCUCUGUAGCCAUUUGGAAACCAAACGUUCCUUCCAAAGGUCUCAGGUCAAUUCUGUGCCUUCUCAUUCUCACUGGCGCAGUCUGCCUUAGGUGCUUAUCACCCUAGUACCAGCGGGAGGGCUGGCCACAUCCCACGUGGUCUCCUCCCACCCAGAACAGUGUGUGACCGGCAGGAUGCUGCGGAAUAUUCCACGAUGCUCUGUGACUUCCCGGGUCAGCUCAUGGGAGACUCCGUGACUUGUACCUUGCUCGCUCGCACAUCAGCUGCUCUGGGGCGGGCCAGCUGCCAGGUCCUGACCGACAGGAGGGGCCCGACAGGGAGGUCCAGGGGGUUAGGAGCUCUGAGAGGGAGCCAUCUCAGCCGCGGAUCUUCUAGCCUCAGGGAAGCCUUGAGCUAACUGCGGGCCCGGCUGCCGUCUUGACGGCAGCCUCACGGGAUGCUGGGCCGGGACCACCCGGCUGAAGCUGCCCCUGAUUUCCUGACCCGUGGAAGCUUGUGAGAUAAUAAAUGUUUAUUGUUUCAAGCCACAGUGUCUUGGGGUAAUCUGUUAUGUAGCAACAGAUAACUAAUGGUUCAUUUUAUAUUAAAUAUGUAUCAUCACUUUCUAAGUGGUCCCCCUUUUCAUUCUGUUCCACUUCUUGUUGACAGAUCAUUUCAAAAUAAUCUCAUUAUAACUCUUCCUGAAUAAAGAGUUACAGAGGUUUCUUAUUCCUUUUUGGAAAAAGUCAAAACCAGGCCCAGCUGGCUCUGAUGCAGGUGGGCAUCGGACCGCACUGGGGGUGUCCCUGACUGCCACCAGCUCACAGCUUACUAUGUAGUCCUAGACGUGUAUGAUUCCUGGGACUGCGUUUUUAAAAAUCUGUUCACAUAUGUGGCUGACCAGUGUCAGUUCCCCAGGAGCCAAGAUCACCUGUUCUGCUUCGCGCACACAGUCCUAGGCCCGGUAAGGGCUUUGGCGAUGUGAGAACUGGAUUCAGAAUCCUAGCAGCUAACAGGAAACAGCUGGAAAUGCAGCAGGGCUAUCUAUGAGCACAGCUUUGGAAUUGGAGAUGCCUCAGGCCGGAUGCUGGGCUGGUGUUCUGGCCUUGGGCAAAUGACAGCUUGUUAGUCCUGUUUCUCGUCUGUAAGAGAGGAUAUUAAUAGUGUCUCCAUCAGAGUUGAGGGC